rnacentral:lncRNA from 10 species
GUAUCAGAGACCCCAAUACCUUCUUUACAUGAUCGUUCUUAGCUAAGGGAAAACUAAGAAUUUGCUCACUUCCUGCCUUGUGGGUUCUAAGGACACACCCCAACAAGUUCCUGUGAAGGGGGGCUGGGUCACUGACCCCCUGAGCAACCCCGGAAGGACAAUUUCUAGGGCCUGGUUACAGAGAUGACAGGUGGCUUAAGAAGUCACUGUGUGCCACGUGCUUUCAUGAUUAUUGUUUCAGUUAAUCUGCACGACAACCCUGAGAGAUAGUCAUAUUUUUCCAUUUUGGAUGUACCCGGCUAGUGUUCAUGGUGCCCUGUUGCCUCUGCAGCAGAGCGCCGCAUCCUCAGUUACUCAAGUCCCCGUUCAGGUUUCUCAUGACCGUGGCUUCUUGUUGAGGGAGAAGUAGAAAAAAAUGAGUAAAAAGGGAUUGGGGAAUCUCGUGGGUGUGGGGGAGGAUGGCGCGGGCCUGAUUCUCAUCUGCCUGCACAGCCUUCCCACGAAAAUAAACCAGUGAAACCACCUGUGAGCCACACGUGCAGUUCACAAGAUGACAGAGGACACCACAAUCUGCAAGAUUACUUCAACACAGAGAAGGAGACCAAAUUUCAGCUAAGCCCCUGUCACCACCACUGGGAGCUUCUGGGCAAGGGGUCCGCAAGGUUUAUGUGACUUUGUGGAAAAAAAAACAAACAAAAACACAGGAUGAGGGUGCCUUAGAUGAGGCAAAGACCAUCUGGCCUCAAAAAGAAAAAUCCAUUCCUGGAUGCUGAAGGACUGGUGAUGGAUGGCUCAGGCCUUGGUAGUUCAGAGCAACAGCCACCUGGAAGGGACUUUGAACAUGAGUCAGGCAGGAAGAGGCAGCCCCAGAGGUGGGCUUCUCCUGGAGAAGAUGCACAAAGAAGGAAUGGAAACCACCAGGGACAUGUCACGAAGGAGAAGGGAGGAACCGAGGGGGACCUACAGAGAUGAGAGAUGACAGCAUAGCAGACCCAGCAAACCAUCUCUUUCCCUCCAUCAUCACUACCACCAUCCACCAAGGAAACCAAACCAAAGAAGACAGAUGUACCAAAAAGUGCACUCUCAUGUUAGAAAUCACACCCAUGAAAUGAACAGGAAGAGAAAAUGUGGACCACAUUCACAGGAAACUGUAAUAAGAAAAUAGAAAAUGUGAACCAACAGAUAGAAGCUGUGAAAAAAAAAUCAAGCAUGAAACAGAAGAAAAUUGUCACAGAAGUAUCAAAACUGAAUUAAAUAGACACAAAAAAGAAUUUGAAGAUAAGGAAAUACUUUAGAUCGAAAAUUUAAAAAUAAAAAUAGAGGCAGGAAACAGAACAAAAAAAUAAAACAAGAGUUAAGGAAAUGCAAGGACAGAAAAGAGAGUAAAAUGUUAGAAUCUUAAAGGAAAUGAAGGCUAAAUUACCAAAGAUGACCAAAGAAGAAUAGACUCAAAUAAAAGCUUAAUAAGGGUCAUGGAAAAAUUAAGAAACACAAUCAAGAGGAUAACAUAAAGAUAUAAAGAAGAUGGAUAAAAAGAGUGAAAGAGAAAAUGGUUGAAAUGUUGGAGAAGAAAGAUGCAACAUUUGUGCUGGUUACUUUUAUGUUUCAACUUGGUGAGGCUGUAGAAACCAGUCACUUAAACACUAACCCAGGUUUUGCUGUGAAGGUGUUUUGUAGAUGUAGGUUAACAUCUAUAAUCAAUUGACUUUAAAGUAAAGAAAGUAACUCUGGAUAAGGUGGUGAGCCUCACCUAAUCAGUUGAGGAAGUAAGAGAAAAACCUGAGGUUUCCCAGAAAAGAAUAAAUUGUGCCUCAAGUUUGCAGCAUCAACUCUUGGAGCCUAAUUGUAAAGAGCAG